CCGGACUGCGGGACAUGUGACCGUGCCGAUCUAGGUCGUGUGACCCGUCUGGUGUAGUCCUGGAACAAGGGUUUUGCUGCGGAGGGAAACGGCCAGAGACCUCGAUCUAAGACCGGGGUUUGGAGACUGGCGGGCCUCGGAACAGCAGAGCUAGCGGACUUCCGGUCUGGCCCUCUGCUCACGGCCGAGGGCAAGGCGGGUUAGGUCACUUGCUGAGGAAAGAGCUCAAUAUGUCACGUGUUCCUCUCCCAAUGACGUGGACCUCAGUUCCCUCUCCAGUGAAGUGGGCACAGUGUUGCCCGAAAAAGGGUGCUCUGGGGCUUGCCUGAGACGGGACGCGUGGAAAUGCCCUGCCGAAUAUGAAUGGGGCGAUGGCCUCGCGGGACGGAGCAGCCCAGGAAAGCUGACCGUGGGCUGGGUUGUGGAGCGGAGCCCCAGGGCCUCGGCUGACUUAGCGGCCAGUCGUACAUAGUGGGUAUGCGGCGGGCCCGACGCCAGUCGUUGUGGACCACUGACUUGUAAUCUUUACGACCUCAGUGAGGGUCAGAAGUGUCCGCGAGCCCUGUAGGCGAGGAGAGGCCUGGCUGAGGGCGCACAGCCUGGAAGGGGAGAAACUAGAGCUGGACUCUGCUUGACCCACAGACCCUCCGCCAGGUUGCCUUUGCGAGGCAAGAAGCGAAGGUUGGCGAGCCAGCUGGGAGUACCCACCCCCUCCAUGCCUGGUGGAGUCACCCAAGCCCCAGCGACACCCCGGCCUGCCCAAGGUACUGGUGACCCUGGAGGCCGGGGCCCUGGCUUCUCAGUCAGGGUCUCCUCCCCAUGGCGGCAGAGCUGUCUGGCGUUUUGAGCCCUUUACACCAGGGGCAAGAGGGCUGCAGGCCAGAGCCAGCAAAAGAGAAGAAGCAGAGGGAAUGAGAAACCUAGAAGGUGGAACGGGAAGGAGGGAGUGAAAUGGGCAAAGGCCUCCAAAAAAAACAACUUCCGCCUCCUAAGUUUAGUGCAUUUAACUCUAUAAAUAUCUAUUGAACACCUACUGGAUGCCAGGCACUUUUCUAGGCACUGGGCAGCUAGCAUUAAACAGAAGGCAGAAACCCCUGCCUUCAACAAAAUCUAUGCUGUGUUGAAUAAGUGAUACAGGGAAAAGCUAAAGAUGGGGAGAGAGGUGGGAAGGGUAUAGAGGAUGGGAAGAAAUUUACAAAAGAGGCAGGGAGGGCUUUACUGAGAAGGUGACGAUGAAGGAAGUGAAGGAAGGGCAUUGCAGGCCAGGGGCUCAUCGUGUGCAAGGGCCCUGGGGUGGAAGGGAUCAUGCAGUGGCGUGAGUGUGGGUUUGAGCAGCAGGUGAUGGUCAGAGAGCUUUACAGAUUUACUUAAUGCCACUGAAUUAUACACUUCAAAUGAUUAAAAUGGUAAAUUUUAUUUAUCUUUUGCCACAAUUUUUUUUAAAACCUCAGUAAAUAAAAUGCAACUUAAGGCUUCUGCUUUUUGCUUUUCAGUAAAGGAAACUAUUUUUUUUUUUAAGUCUGUCCCUUUUAAGCCUUUUACAUUCCUCAAGUAAGGCUUACCCCCAGAAUGGGGGUCAGGGAUCGGUGCCGAUGGGGCUAGAGCACCACCAUCAUUGCUACUGCUAAUGACAAUGGUGAUAGCAACAACAGCCGUGAUUGACUGCUCACUGUGCUAGCAGCUGUACCACAUGGUCCCAUCUGUUCUUCACACAGCCCCAGGGGCAGGUACGCUCAUGGGAACAUAGCACAGGGUAGUUAACGGACUCAUCCAAGGUCAUGCAGCUGGGAGUGGCAGCACCAGGAUCCCUCCAGAACCAGAGCUCUUUCUCACCACCCACGUCAGUGCCAGCAAAGCCUCCCAAACUCCUCCAAAGCCACCUCGAUAACAGGAGAGAGGUGUCCUUCACCAAGCCCGAGAGGGAGACUGCCAGGUGCCUGUGGAAUAAGCCCUCUGGUCCAGAUGAGGACUAGCAAGAGGAAGGGCUGUUUGCCUUCUUUAAAAAGAUUACAAUAAUG
rnacentral:lncRNA from 10 species